CCUACGGGAGGCUGCAGUGGGGAAUAUUGCACAAUGGGGGAAACCCUGAUGCAGCGACGCCGCGUGAGUGAAGAAGUAAUUCGUUAUGUAAAGCUCUAUCAGCAGGGAAGAAAAUGACGGUACCUGAGUAAGAAGCCCCGGCGAACGACGGGCCAGCAGCCGCGGUAAUACGGAGGGGGCAAGCGUUAUCCGGAUUUACGGGGUGUAAAGGGAGCGUAGACGGCAGUGCAAGUCUGGAGGGAAAGGCGGGGGCUCAACCCCCGGACUGCUCUGGAAACUGGACGGCUGGAGUGCAGGAGGGGUCAGUGGAAUUCCUAGUGUAGCGGUGAAAUGCGUAGAUAUUAGGCGGAACACCAGUGGCGAAGGCGGCUUACUUGACUGUACCUGACGUUGAGGCUCGAAAGCGUGGGGAGCAAACAGGAUUAGCUACCCGUGUAGUC
rnacentral:rRNA from 1 species